AAUCUUCCACAAUGGACGAAAGUCUGAUGGCGCAACGCCUCGUGAGUGAAGAAGGAUUUCGGUUCGUAAAACUCUGUUGCAAGGGAAGAACAAGUAGCGUCGUCACUGGCGCUACCUUGACGGUACCUUGUUAGAAAGCCACGGCUAACUACGUGCCAGCAGCCGCGGUAAUACGUAGGUGGCAAGCGUUGUCCGGAAUUAUUGGGCGUAAAGCGCGCGCAGGUGGUUUCUUAAGUCUGAUGUGAAAGCCCACGGCUCAACCGUGGAGGGUCAUUGGAAACUGGGAGACAUGAGUGCAGAAGAGGAUAGUGGAAUUCCAAGUGUAGCGGUGAAAUGCGUAGAGAUUUGGAGGAACACCAGUGGCGAAGGCGACUGUCUGGUCUGUAACUGACACUGAGGCGCGAAAGCGUGGGGAGCAAAC
rnacentral:rRNA from 1 species